rnacentral:rRNA from 1 species
CCUACGGGCGGCAGCAGUGAGGAAUAUUGGUCAAUGGACGAGAGUCUGAACCAGCCAAGUAGCGUGAAGGAUGACUGCCCUAUGGGUUGUAAACUUCUUUUAUAUGGGAAUAAAAUGUUCCACGUGUGGGCUUUUGUAUGUACCAUAUGAAUAAGGAUCGGCUAAACUCGUGCCAGCAGCCGCGGUAAUACGGAGGAUCCGAGCGUUAUCCGGAUUUAUUGGGUUUAAAGGGAGCGUAGGUGGAUUGUUAAGGCAGUUGUGAAAGUUUGCGGCUCAAACGUAAAAUUGCAGUUGAAACUGGCAGUCUUGAGUACAGGAGAGGUGGGCGGAAUGCGUGGUGUAGCGGUGAAAUGCAUAGAUAUCACGAAGAACUCCGAUUGCGAAGGCAGCUCACUGGACUGCAACUGACACUGAGGCUCGAAAGUGUGGGUAUCAAACAGGAUUAGAUACCCUUGUAGUC